CAAUUGUAUACAAUUGUACUAGAACAAGGACCUCACCUCAACUUGUUCUCUCUUACGUCCAAAACUUUUUGCGAAAUUUAUCUUUUUUCAGGCGCCAUUUUUUCCCGCAUUGUCUCUUAUCCUGCCCUUGAAUGGAGAUAUUUUUGCCCCAAAAUUAUAUUAAAAUACUGAAAGCAAUCAGCUUUACCCAUACCCUUCCAGUGGACUUUUCAAUCUCCAUGAACUACAUCCCUCUUUUCUCAUCUAUCUUUCCAUCUACACCCAUUUCCUUGCUUCCAUUUCUGUACAAAGCAUCACUCCUCUCAUCUUCAGAAAUUUUUCCGCCAUGGCCUCCUGGCCCUCAUCGUCCAAUCCCUCAAAUCAGAAGGCUGCUAUUAGAAAGAGAAGCACGGGCUCCCAAUUUAAGUUCUUGGUUGCUCCUAUAUAUGCCCAUGUUCUUCCGCUCAAAGGAUCGGUGAAGAAGUGUAGAGUAAUUAAAGGCUUGAUGACUCUUCUAAUUGGCGAUAAUUGCUCAAGUUAGGUUCGGAUGAACACUAAGUGAAACAUUAGUGCAUAUUACGUGAAAUAGGUGUGAAACCUCAGUUGAACUUUCCUGUACCCUUGUUGAAACCUCAUUGCAAACCUAUUGGUGAAACCUUAUUGUACACCUACUGAAGUUCUAGCGAACACCUAUUGACUGUAUAAAUGUUAAUGGAACAUAUU